GUGCUUUUCCUUCUUGUGCUCUUCAGGGAUGCUUUCCUGGAUGUGAUAUGAGGGUGCUUGUUACCCCUUGUCCUGGCAGUGCAUACCACUGAAGAAAGACUGGCCCCAUCCUCCUGACACCUGCCUUUUAAUAAGGAAGAGCCAGGCCUGGCUGAGAUCCAAAAAAAUCUUGCCUCUAUUAGUCCAUCACUUCGUGGGAUUUUCCUUUGGCAAGGGGUGGAAGCUAUACUUGCAUACAUAAUCUCAAAGGUUGAGAGACCUGGGGAUGUUUAGUCUGUGAAAAAACAGACUGAGAGGAGACCUUAUGAAUGCUCACAAACGUCUGAAGGGUUUCAAAUGUGACAUUCCUGACCACUACCAGCACUCAGAUCGUUUCGUCUCCACUUCUUCUGAUGGUUCCUGCUCCCUUUCCUCGCCGUGUCUCCCAGCUCAUAAAAGAGCUGCUUGAGGACU